CCAGCCAAAAGUUUAUUAUUAAUUAGCAUCAGUUAUUUCAAGAUGUUUAAGAAAGAUGGACUUAAAUGAUAUAUGAACUAUGAAUAGUAGUACUUUGUAAAGCUGACUUAGAUAACACAUCUGCACAUCAUUUUCAGUCAUUUUUUAUGCCUAAAUUCAAUUUCUUCAGAGCAGUUAUUCCACAAAGAGAUCGUAUGAGAUAUUGUUUUGAU
rnacentral:lncRNA from 1 species